UUAGCAAUUUCUUCGAAAAGUUUAAAGAGAUUUACUUGGAAAUGUGGUUUAAUGGGUUAAUAUGUGAGAUUUGACUUUUUGUAAGACAGUAUAUUAGUGUACUUUUAGUCAACAAUCAUGUGGAUGGAGGAGCUGAUUAGGCAUACUUAGUUAGCACACUUGACAAAGAUUUGAUAGUGAAAUGAUUGUUUGAGAAGAGUCUCAUAACAGAGGGGUUAAUUUAAUUGCAAUGUAGUAGAUAGGUGCAUUUCAUAAUUUUGUAUACUAGGAAAGUGUAGGCUAGUGAUAUGAAUGUUGUUAGUUUUAAUAGGUUAGUGACGAUGGAGUUAAAACCCCAAAAGAUUAGUGGCCGAAAUUGAUAAUUACCCAACACUUGUAAAAUAUGGCCAUAGUCCAUAGAUACCCGGCUAAGUUGAUAGCAUAGAGACUAGAAAGCAAGCUUACUAAUCAGGAAUCGUGAAACUUUGCCCCUGGACAAUAAAGCUGUUUCCUUCUUCUGGCCGACUGACAAAGAAAGAACCAACCAUUUGACUAAAUACACAUGCAUGAGCCCAACUAUGUCAUCACCUCCCAUAAUUUUAAUUUAACUAAAAAUCGGAUUAAGUAGUAGAGUUUAGCCUCCAAACUAACUUCUUCUUUUGGUCACAUUUCAACAGUUCAACUGGAGUUUUGACUGUUCGAAUUUUCAGUCAUAAUGACGUGAAUAUUCUGCCUGCCUGCCUUUCAUUUGUUGAAGUUUUUGACAAGAUUGUAUAAAUUUUUUAUACAAAAGCUCAAUUAUCAGUGAGGUUCAUACGCAGGCUUGACGUAAAAAAUGUAAACCACGUUUGGUUUUGAUGUUUUGGUGGAUGGGUAGUUUUUGUAAUCCCCUUGGUGGAUAGGAGAAAUAAAAUUUUUUUUAACAAAACUUAACAAAAAGAUGAGUUUUGUAAAUUUUCAAAUGGUAAUUUGUAUACUAAUUUAGAUUUCCAAUACUAUCUUUGUUUUUAGAAGGGUUUCAAUUAAUUUUAAGAAAAAUAACAAACAAUCUAAUAAUUAAAUAAAAAAUUAUAUAUUUUUACUUAAAACCUAAUCAUAAAUAAAUAGCUUUCAAACAAAAAUUUUGAGAAAUAUAAAAUUACCGUUUCAAAAGCUACCAUUUUAAAAGAACCCAUUCAUUUUAAAAUACCGAUAAUCCUCACUUUUUGAAUUGAUUGUAUUUUUUUUUAUAAAUCAGUAACAAAUUAAUAUUACUAAAAGAAUGAAUACAUAGGAAGGUCCAAAGGCCCAAAGAAAAAUAAGGAAAUAAAGAAAAUAUCAUUACAUUCAUGGGCCUAAGAACAAAACCCUAGUCCAUAGAAAACACCAACACAAACCCUACUUCAAACCAUCAAAAGAUUGCAGUCGUCAUCAUUUUCACUUAGUACGACCACCGUCGGACUCAUAGAUUAUCGCCGCCAAUCAGGAAAACGCCGGAAACCACCAUGAAAACUCCUCCAAGAAUAAGAAGAGAGAAAGUUUUCCUUCGAUUGAGGUCGGCUCUACCUUUGACUCAUUAACCGGUUUCGAAGCUCAUAUAAAAGCAACAACUCCGGAUUACCAACAGAAGGGCAAAACAAGGAGGAAGGAAAAAGAAAGAAGAGAAACAACUGAAAAUAACUUUCUAGACAUUCAAGAAUACGAACUCAAAAUCUGAAUCAAAUCAGCAAAAAAAGCUCCAAAAAGGAGAAACACAAGUCCAUAAGGAGAAAAGGAAAGCCUCACGAGGGAGGAAGAACAACAACAUGAUUCCAGAUAUGAAGAAUCAGACCAAAGAACCCAAAAAAUAUGAUAAAAAUCACUUAGGGAAAGUCAAAAUGAGGAGAUCUAGAGAAAAAGAGAAACAAACGUAUAAGGGAGGGGAUUAAGGUGCUGCCGUCGGUCACCCGAAGGUGCCACGGCAACAAAGAAACGGUGAAGAGAGGAGAGAAGGUAGAGAAAAAGAGAGAGAGAGACUAGACCAAACAUGCAGGUUUCGAAUAAGAUAAGUUAAU
rnacentral:lncRNA from 1 species